AGAAAGGUAAGCUAAGUCUAAGCUCAUAGGUUCAUACCCUAUUUAUGGAAUGCCCCCUCUUUCUA
rnacentral:tRNA from 1 species